rnacentral:rRNA from 1 species
AUUGAACGCUGGCGGCAGGCCUAACACAUGCAAGUCGAACGAGCGGCGGACGGGUGCGUAAUGCCUAGGAAUCUGCCUGGUAGUGGGGGAUAACGUCCGGAAACGGGCGCUAAUACCACAUACCAUCGGAUGUGACCAGAUGGGAUUAGCUGGUAGGUGGGGUAACGGCUCACCUAGGCGACGAUCCCUAGCUGGUCUGAGAGUCGGACCAGCCAUACGGGAACGUAGCUACGGUCCAGACUCCUACGGGAGGGUGUAGUGGGGAACAUUGCGUAAUGUGCGCAAGCCUGAUGCAGCAAUGCCGCGUGUAUGAAGAACGCCUUCGGGUUGCAAAGCACUUUCACCUAGGAGGCGUUACUCGCAGAAGAAGCACCGGCUAACUCCGUGCCAGCAGCCGCGGUAAUUC